CACCCCAUUGGACCUCAUUUGAGUUACUGACUCUCAAGAACCAGUCUUUCCAUCCAUUGGUGGGACUGGGCCAGGAACGGAAGGCAUAUUUCCAUAGAUCUAGAGAAAAGUUUUCAGCUCUAAAGGGAAUUCUGUUUGUUUCUGCGUUUAUCAGAUCGGUGGGAUCUGGGUUCCAUAGUGGACCGAGACAUUGGAGGUG
rnacentral:lncRNA from 1 species